rnacentral:lncRNA from 1 species
CUUACUUAUAGAUAAAGCAUAUAUUUAAUAAGAAUAAAGCUAAAUAAAUUUAUAACUAAGUUAUACAUGAUCCAAUGGGUACGAAACAUUUAUCAUAGUUCAAGCAUACAAUAAUGAGCUCACCAUUAAAAUUUUACUAUAAUUGAACCAUAUGAACUACACGUAUGAAUUAUUCUUAUUAAUUAUAGAAAAACAUAGAUUUAAAUCGACAGCAAAAACAUUGUACUAAAAUAUAUUAUAUUAUAUAUUCACUGUGUAGAUCUACUCAUCAACAGUCCAAUAAAAUUGAAUUCUUCAUUUUAUGAUUUUUUUAUGAUUUAUUAUGGUUUUUAAAAUAUUCAGUGAAAAUAAAUAAAAAAGAAAAAGACAAAACCACCCUCCAAAACCACUCAAGGGAUUAGUUGACCGGUUUUGAAUAUUCAGAGGGUAAAAUAUCCAGUUUUAUAGUUCGGGAGA